rnacentral:lncRNA from 1 species
CGGGUUAAGUACGACAUCUUUCAGGGACUCUUUAGAAAAUGUUACCCCGAAGGGGUAUGUUCUAAUCUGGUGCCUUGGUUUUAGAUCGAACGGCUCAGGAUCAAUCCACGGAGGGAAGAGGAGAUGCUGGCCGGCUACAGAGCUCUGGCCGGUGGCGCCAUGGCCGGAUUUCGGCCGGAACAUCGCCGGAGUCGGGAACUCACCU